rnacentral:other from 1 species
GUUCUGAGGUGUACGAUAUAUUCUCAAUGUGUUGACCGAACAAAUAAUUACUACAUUGGGAUCCUUGAUAAACGCUCGGAUAGCAAGCCUUUUCAUUUGGACACUAGAAGACGUUUUGUGGAGCCCACCUGCUUAAAUCGCGGGUUCAAAACUAGUAGAAUACCAAAAACGGCACCACCGGAAUUU